GCUACCAAUCGUGGCGAGGCCCUCUGACAUGAACUCCUAUUGUCAACACAGCUUUGAACACACUUUCUAGAACGAUCUUGAGUAGAAUCAGAAAAUAACAGACUGUGGAGUUCAGGAGGCAUGGUUUGAAUUCGACAGCCUUCAGCCUGCACUCAGAGAGUUAUAUCCCCCAUUCGAGGUUUGCACAUUCAAACGGUUGCUGAGACCAGGCCCAGAACAAACCAGAGCAAAGCAGACUGAGCACCCAGCAACAGGAGAGGAGGAGACGCAGCCAGGAGAAGCUUCACACCAUCAGAACAGGCCAGUGGUUACUUAGCUCCUGCUGACCGUUGCCAUGGAGAAAAGCCAUGAAGACACUGGAGACUGGGAAGUUUUGGUGUGUUCCGGAAGCUAGAAAGCAACGUAAUGGACUCAAAGCCUGGCCUCCCAAUGUCUGAUCUCAGAUCAGUUCCGCUAGGGUCAAGCUUCUUAGGGAUUUGUUGAUCCACUUGGGGCUGUGCAGUGGGAUGUGAGUAUCUUGAAAAACCUGGCAACAGUAAACGG